UACGGAGGGUGCAAGCGUUGCUCGGAAUUACUGGGCGUAAAGCGCGUGUAGGCGGUCUCGUGUGUCUGGCGUGAAAGCCCCGGGCUCACCCCGGGAAGUGCGUUGGAAACUGCGAGACUAGAGUUCCGGAGAGGAAGGUUGAAUUCCAGGUGUAGCGGUGAAAUGCGUAGAUAUCUGGAAGAACACCGGUGGCGAAGGCGGCCUUCUGGACGGUUACUGCCGCUGAGACGCGAAAGCGUGGGGAGCAAACAGG
rnacentral:rRNA from 1 species